CACAAGCGGAGGAGCAUGUGGUUUAAUCGAUGAUACGCGAGGAACCUUACCUGGGCUCGAACGUAAGAUGACUGUAGGUGAAAGCUUACAUCUCUUCGGAGCAUUUUACGAGGCGCUGCAUGGUUGUCGUCAGCUCGUGCCGUGAGGUGUCGGGUUAAGUCCCAUAACGAGCGCAACCCCUACCUUUAGUUGCCAUCAGGUAAUGCUGGGGACUCUAAAGGAACUGCCUACGCAAGUAGUGAGGAAGGCGGGGAUGACGUCAAAUCAGCACGGCCCUUACGUCCAGGGCUACACACGUGCUACAAUGGCCGAUACAGAGGGCAGCUACCUGGUGACAGGAUGCAAAUCUCCAAAGUCGGCCUCAGUUCGGAUCGGAGUCUGCAACCCGACUCCGUGAAGUUGGAUUCGCUAGUAAUCGCGCAUCAGCCAUGGCGCGGUGAAUACGUUCCCGGGCCUU
rnacentral:rRNA from 1 species